rnacentral:lncRNA from 1 species
GCCAAGAUCUAUGAUGCCUGCUAUGGACUCGCAGAUGCAUCCCUUCAGUGCACAGCCGGUGCAGGAGCUGGCUUCCUUGCAGAGCAAUGACUCCCAUACCUGGAGUCCUGGAGCCUAACCAGAUUGAGGGUGAAUGUGAGGAGCGAACCAGCAGCAGCGGGGCUUUUGGGGGUAUUUGCAAAUCUGCCACCGGUCUUUUUCUAUGUUACAAGAAUGUCAUUCGAAAGAUAGUACGUAAUUUUGCAACUACGUUUU